GAGAGUAUAGCUCAAGUGGUAGAGUGCAGGCUUAGCCUGCGUGAAGUCCUGGGUUCAAUCCCCAGUACCUCCU
rnacentral:tRNA from 1 species